ACCUACGGGGCGCAGCAGUGGGGGAUAUUGCACAAUGGGGGGAACCCUGAUGCAGCGACGCCGCGUGAAGGAAGAAGUAUCUCGGUAUGUAAACUUCUGUCAGCAGGGAAGAAAAUGACGGUACCUGAAGAAGAAGCCCCGGCUAACUACGUGCCAGCAGCCGCGGUAAUACGUAGGGGGCAAGCGUUAUCCGGAUUUACUGGGUGUAAAGGGGGCGCAGACGGCGAUGCAAGCCAGGAGUGAAAGCCCGGGGCCCAACCCCGGGACUGCUCUUGGAACUGCGUGGCUAGAGUGCAGGAGG
rnacentral:rRNA from 1 species